rnacentral:rRNA from 2 species
UCCAGCUUGCUGGAUGCUGACGAGCGGCGGACGGGUGAGUAAUGCAUAGGAAUCUGCCCGAUAGUGGGGGAUAACCUGGGGAAACCCAGGCUAAUACCGCAUACGUCCUACGGGAGAAAGGGGGCUCCGGCUCCCGCUAUGGGAUGAGCCUAUGUCGGAUUAGCUAGUUGGUGAGGUAACGGCUCACCAAGGCCACGAUCCGUAGCUGGUCUGAGAGGAUGAUCAGCCACAUCGGGACUGAGACACGGCCCGAACUCCUACGGGAGGCAGCAGUGGGGAAUAUUGGACAAUGGGGGAAACCCUGAUCCAGCCAUGCCGCGUGUGUGAAGAAGGCCCUCGGGUUGUAAAGCACUUUCAGCGAGGAAGAACGCCUAGCGGUUAAUACCCGCUAGGAAAGACAUCACUCGCAGAAGAAGCACCGGCUAACUCCGUGCCAGCAGCCGCGGUAAUACGGAGGGUGCAAGCGUUAAUCGGAAUUACUGGGCGUAAAGCGCGCGUAGGUGGCUUGAUAAGCCGGUUGUGAAAGCCCCGGGCUCAACCUGGGAACGGCAUCCGGAACUGUCAAGCUAGAGUGCAGGAGAGGAAGGUAGAAUUCCCGGUGUAGCGGUGAAAUGCGUAGAGAUCGGGAGGAAUACCAGUGGCGAAGGCGGCCUUCUGGACUGACACUGACACUGAGGUGCGAAAGCGUGGGUAGCAAACAGGAUUAGAUACCCUGGUAGUCCACGCCGUAAACGAUGUCGACCAGCCGUUGGGUGCCUAGCGCACUUUGUGGCGAAGUUAACGCGAUAAGUCGACCGCCUGGGGAGUACGGCCGCAAGGUUAAAACUCAAAUGAAUUGACGGGGGCCCGCACAAGCGGUGGAGCAUGUGGUUUAAUUCGAUGCACGCGAGAU